AAGCCAAGCUUGCUUGGUGGAUCAGUGGCGAACGGGUGAGUAACACGUGAGCAACCUGCCCUGGACUCUGGGAUAAGCGCUGGAAACGGCGUCUAAUACUGGAUAUGAGCUCUCAUCGCAUGGUGGGGGUUGGAAAGAUUUUUCGGUCUGGGAUGGGCUCGCGGCCUAUCAGCUUGUUGGUGAGGUAAUGGCUCACCAAGGCGUCGACGGGUAGCCGGCCUGAGAGGGUGACCGGCCACACUGGGACUGAGACACGGCCCAGACUCCUACGGGAGGCAGCAGUGGGGAAUAUUGCACAAUGGGCGGAAGCCUGAUGCAGCAACGCCGCGUGAGGGAUGACGGCCUUCGGGUUGUAAACCUCUUUUAGCAGGGAAGAAGCGAGAGUGACGGUACCUGCAGAAAAAGCGCCGGCUAACUACGUGCCAGCAGCCGCGGUAAUACGUAGGGCGCAAGCGUUAUCCGGAAUUAUUGGGCGUAAAGAGCUCGUAGGCGGUUUGUCGCGUCUGCUGUGAAAUCCCGAGGCUCAACCUCGGGCCUGCAGUGGGUACGGGCAGACUAGAGUGCGGUAGGGGAGAUUGGAAUUCCUGGUGUAGCGGUGGAAUGCGCAGAUAUCAGGAGGAACACCGAUGGCGAAGGCAGAUCUCUGGGCCGUAACUGACGCUGAGGAGCGAAAGGGUGGGGAGCAAACAGGCUUAGAUACCCUGGUAGUCCACCCCGUAAACGUUGGGAACUAGUUGUGGGGACCAUUC
rnacentral:rRNA from 1 species